GAGGUAUGUCACUCUGCACUAUUUUUAUGCAAAAAUUGUACCUGUCAUGCAGUAGUCUGUGAUCUGUAGAUUCUAAACCCUACACCCGAUUUUCCUUACAAUUUUUAAACGCCAUAAUAUCUCCAUAUUCUAAACUGGUAAUCUUUUUUACAUGUAAGAUAUUUUGUGACCCAUUAAAAAUAUAAUUCUUCCUUUCAUGCAGACUAGAGACCAUGCUGUAACCACAGACCUUUGGACAGAGGAAAGGACCAACACACACUACAUCACUGUUACAGUGCAUUACAUCCUUGACUGGAAGAUGGUAAACCGGAUUCUGGCCACAAGAGAGAUGGAAGGUGUUAAAUCCAGUGACCACAUCAGAAGGACUGUGGAGGGAAUCCUUCAGGAAUUUGGCAUCCUGAGCAACGACACCGCUUUUGUAACGGAUAAUGGCUCAAAUGUGGUUGCAGCACUCAAGGAUUAUGUCCGACUCUCCUGUGCCGGCCAUAAUAUCAACUUAAUCUUAAAACAUGUAUUUGACCACUUGGACGAGGACAACCCAGUGCACAGCAGCAUCAUCAAGCUGUUUAAGGACACAAAGACCCUUGUGUCACACACUUCAAAAGAGCAGGGUUGCAAAAAGCACUGGACCAGUCACUGAAGCAAUCUGUGGAGACGAGGUGGAAUACCAGACUAGCAAUGCUCCAAUCUGUUAAUGAUGCUCUGAGAUCUGGGAAGCUGCAUGACAUCCUGCUUCACCGAAACGAGCUCCGUUACCUCAACAACAUAGACUGCGAACUUCUUGAAGACAUCAUCCAACUCCUGAAACCUUUCGAAGAGGCUACCAGACAUCUCUCCACUGAUCAGACACCUACCCUUCACCUUGUCCUCCCGACCAAGGCUACUCUACUGAGGGGUUUGUCGAUCCAGGAUGGAGACAGUGUGAUUGUAAAAGAGGUCCACCCCCAGAGCAAGGAGCUAUGGAGGUGCAUAACUUCUUUGCAAGUUGUGUAGAAGAGGAGGAGAGGAAGGAGGACAGUGGUGAUAUGGAGUCACAGGGUCGCCAGUUGGUGCUGCAAUACAUGAGUGACACUAAGUUGACACGUUUCCAGUCUCUUCUUGACUUUUGGCGGGAGAUGUCAGGUGGGCUCGUACUAGUUGCCAAGAGGCUGCUAGCUAUCCCCGCAACAAGUACUCCUUCUGAGCGUAGCUUCAGUGUUGCGGGAAGACUGAUAGAGGAGAGGCGUUCUACCCUCAAUCCAGAAAAUGUAGAUGCACUUUUGUUCCUGCACAGCAACAUAUAACUAAGAUGGACUCAUUAUGCAAGAGCAUAAUG